GAAUAUUGCUUUUUUGAAUAUUUUCUUUCAGGCUAUUUGCGAGGUGAAAUCUUUGCGGGGCGAAAAACACGAGAGGCGAGAAGGAUGAGCCUCUGGCAACAUCAGUUGAAAAUCCCACUUCCACACUUGAUUAGGUUCAGUUUUCUCGCAUGGGAUUGGUCAUAAAAAAAUGUCAAACCGGUUUGGGAAAUAAACAUUACUGUGAGCUAAUUAUAGCUAUAAUUAGCUUACAGUACAGUAAG